rnacentral:rRNA from 1 species
UACGUAGGGUGCGAGCGUUAAUCGGAAUUACUGGGCGUAAAGCGUGCGUAGGCGGUCCGCUAAGUCUGAUGUGAAAGCCCCGGGCUCAACCUGGGAACUGCAUUGGAAACUAGCGGGCUCGAGUGUGGCAGAGGGGGGUGGAAUUCCGCGUGUAGCAGUGAAAUGCGUAGAGAUGUGGAGGAACACCGAUGGCGAAGGCAGCCCCCUGGGCUAACACUGACGCUCAGGCACGAAAGCGUGGGGAGCAAACAGG